AUUGAACGCUGGCGGCAUGCUUUACACACGCAAGUCGAACGGCAGCGCGGGCUUCGGCCUGGCGGCGAGUGGCGAACGGGUGAGUAAUGCAUCGGAACGUGCCCAGUAGUGGGGGAUAGCCCGGCGAAAGCCGGAUUAAUACCGCAUACGACCUGAGGGUGAAAGCGGGGGACCGAAAGGCCUCGCGCUAUUGGAGCGGCCGAUGUCGGAUUAGCUAGUUGGUGGGGUAAAGGCUUACCAAGGCGACGAUCCGUAGCUGGUCUGAGAGGACGACCAGCCACACUGGGACUGAGACACGGCCCAGACUCCUACGGGAGGCAGCAGUGGGGAAUUUUGGACAAUGGGGGCAACCCUGAUCCAGCCAUGCCGCGUGCGGGAAGAAGGCCUUCGGGUUGUAAACCGCUUUUGUUCGGGAAGAAAUCCUCUGGGCUAAUACCCCGGGGGGAUGACGGUACCGGAAGAAUAAGCACCGGCUAACUACGUG
rnacentral:rRNA from 1 species